UUGGAGGCCUUCCAGGUGGGAUUACCAUGAACUCCCCCAGACUUGAAAAAGAGCAAGGGUAAUGAGUUUUUUCCAGGUUGGUUGGUCUCCUAUUA
rfam:Pelagibacteraceae bacterium GOM-A1 A1_S1_69, whole genome shotgun sequence.